AUGGUGGAGCGAUGGCCAUGCCCUAAGCUUGUGAUCUCCACCAACUCCAAAAGUCCAGCUAUAAAACGGCAGAAAAAGAAAUUCCGAAGCAACUGCCAGUCAGCAAUCAUCGUCAGCUCAGCUCAACCUCGGAGGAAACGUCCCCGGAACGAAGUAGCAAUUCAGCAGGCGGAGGCCGACUCUUUCCCCCCGUCUCCCGGUUUCUAUUUCCGUCCCCAACCACCCGCGACCCCCGCUUUCCAUGGCCGCCGCGGCCGGAUGAUGUCUAGAAAGCCGCUCCUCCCCUGCCGCGGGCCCGCAGCCACCCCUCCCGCCCAGCUCCUCCUCCCAAUCCGCCGCCUCCUCCUCCUCCCCCUCCCCCGCCGCCGCUCCUCCCCGCCGCCGCCGCCGCUCGACCGACGGAGGCCCGCCAUGGCCGGCGCUGGCCAGUCCGCGGCCCCCGCGGCGGCGGCGGCGGCCGGCGCCGGGGCCACCUCCUUCCAUGUCGGCAUGGUGCGGGUCGUCUCGUUCCUCGUCGGCGGCCUCAACUGCGCGGUGCUGCUGCUUGGCCUCUACCUCAUCGACGCCGCGCUCCCGCCCGGCUGCGGCUGGGGCCUCGCGCUCGCCGCCAUGCCCGCUAUGGCCGCGGUCCGGGUGCUCGCCAUGCUCGGCGCCGCGCGGGCCCAGCACGCCACUGCGGACGCCAUUGCUCGCCGCCACCUCGACGAGGCCGCCGCCUCCGUUGCCGAGGACGCCGUGGCCCGCCACGAGAUCAGGGUGAGGUAUAAGCGCUGGUUGUGGUGGACUAGAUUUGGUAUGGCUGUUGGUGCAUUGCAGCUGGUUGGGGCAAUAUAUCUCAUGUUUGUCAUUGUGAGUGAUCUUCCCAACGAAAGAAGACCCACGUCCUGUUUCUUUGCACAGGAUGGAGCUGAGCGGGUCUCCAGACGAGCAUUAAUUGCUUUGUUUCUUAUCCUUUCCUGGGUUGUGGUCGUCCUUCAGUGCUUCAUGGGUUCUGAUGUAUUGAGAUGGCGGUCAUUCUAUGCGACACAUGAUAUGGCAUGGAAAGCUCAUUACAGGGAAGUGUUUGAUCAUGGAAUUCGUGAGGCUUUGUGCUGCCUAGGACGUGCAAAGUAUCUAGCCGUAUUGGAAGAAGAUGAGGUAUAUUCUGUGGCAAGACUUCUGGGUGAAUUGGUUGCAUAUCGUGCUUCUGGGACUGGCCAUUUGGAACUGUUAGCAGGGCUUGCUCUAUUGCAGAAGCAUGGGAAUUUGCCUGAUUUGCAAACUGACCUUGUGGAGGCACCUCAUACGCUUAUGCGAGAAGCUGCUGUUCUCCAUCCUUUUGCUGAAGCAUGUUACACGGGGCCACUUCUUGAUGUCGGAAGAAACCCCAUUUUGUUUCCAUGCGCAUGGGUUUAUCGACAAGGCGUUUUAACUCCAUGGGCGCGCCUAAGGCGUCCUGCACUUGAUGGUGAUAACUGGUGGCGAGGGCAUGCUGCAGCUUUCCUUAGAUUUGUUAAUAUAGCACCUACAGCACUUGUUCGAGGCCGUGUUCGUCAGAGCAAGCGUGAAGCCGCUUACUUUGUUGUGGUCCUCCAUGACAAAAAAACUGUUCUUAUUGGGGUGCGUGGGACAGAAACACCAGAGGAUCUCAUAACCGAUGGACUAUGCAGAGAAUGUGCUUUCACUAUGGAAGAUUUGGAUGGACUAGUAAAUAGUGAACUAUUACCUGUAACUACGAGGGAGAAAGUUAUUUCUACAUUCCCGCACUAUGGACAUGGUGGAAUUGUAGAGGCUGCUCGGGAGCUUUUCAUGCAACUCAACGACUGCACAGGAGAUAAUGGCAACUCAGAAAACACGUCCUCCAAAAAAUUUGGAUUUCUGUCUACGCUAGUCCAGGAGGGCAGUGAGUGUCAUGGAUAUAAAAUUCGUGUCGUUGGACAUUCUUUAGGAGGCGCUGUUGCUACAGUCCUAGGAAUGAUGCUUUUUGGCAGAUACCCAGAUGUGCAUGUGUAUGCUUAUGGCCCACUUCCUUGUGUGGAUUUGAUAAUAGCUGAAGCCUGUUCACAGUUUGUUACCACCAUUGUAAACAACGACGAAUUUUCUUCUCGCCUUUCAAUCAACUCAAUCCUCAGACUACGAUCUGCUGCAAUAAGUACUCUUUCAGAUAACUCCCCAGAUGAUACAGCAAUGAUACAAAAACUUGCUCGCAGAAUUUUGAAUGCAAACAAGUAUCAUGAAAGGCGGUCUCCACACCAGGAUGCAUUAUGCAAUACUGAGCCAGACCUUCAAGAUUUGCAAAAUGGCUUGGGUGCCUACAAUGGACCCAGUUCAUCCAUAGAUGAGCCCAGAAGCUAUCGAAGCCUACAAAUUGAUCAGGAUGUCCGGAGGAUUCCACUUGAUGGGCAUGAUUCCGGUUUGGAAGAGGCUCAGACAUCUUCUGGGGAAAUACUAGUCGAGUCUCGAGAGAUGUUUCUUGCAGGCUUAAUUAUUCAUGUUGUGCGGAACAGAAGAAGCCUCUUUCCUCUUUGGAAAUGCUGGAACCCUCAGGAAGCUGAACAACCAUAUAAAGCUGUUUUUGCGAAAAGAGAGAACUUCAGGGAUAUUGCUGUUACUCCUUCUAUGUUCAUGGAUCACUUACCAUGGAGGUGUCGGUUUGCUAUGCAGAGAACUCUGGAAGGCCAACCGUCACAGCGUUUAGCUAAUUCUGAUUCACCUGUACAACAUUUGGUCUGA
rnacentral:rRNA from 1 species